rnacentral:rRNA from 1 species
UGUGAACUCGAAGAGUAGGGCGGGACACGUGGUAUCCUGUCUGAAUAUGGGGGGACCAUCCUCCAAGGCUAAAUACUCCUGACUGACCGAUAGUGAACCAGUACCGUGAGGGAAAGGCGAAAAGAACCCCGGCGAGGGGAGUGAAAAAGAACCUGAAACCGUGUACGUACAAGCAGUGGGAGCACCUUCGGGUGUGACUGCGUACCUUUUGUAUAAUGGGUCAGCGACUUAUAUUCUGUAGCAAGGUUAACCGUAUAGGGGAGCCGCAGGGAAACCGAGUCUUAACUGGGCGUUAAGUUGCAGGGUAUAGACCCGAAACCCGGUGAUCUAGCCAUGGGCAGGUUGAAGGUUGGGUAACACUAACUGGAGGACCGAACCGACUAAUGUUGAAAAAUUAGCGGAUGACUUGUGGCUGGGGGUGAAAGGCCAAUCAAACCGGGAGAUAGCUGGUUCUCCCCGAAAGCUAUUUAGGUAGCGCCUCGUGAACUCAUCUUCGGGGGUAGAGCACUGUUUCGGCUAGGGGGUCAUCCCGACUUACCAACCCGAUGCAAACUACGAAUACCGAAGAAUGUUAUCACGGGAGACACACGGCGGGUGCUAACGUCCGUCGUGAAGAGGGAAACAACCCAGACCGCCAGCUAAGGUCCCAAAGUCAUGGUUAAGUGGGAAACGAUGUGGGAAGGCACAGACAGCCAGGAUGUUGGCUUAGAAGCAGCCAUCAUUUAAAGAAAGCGUAAUAGCUCACUGGUCGAGUCGGCCUGCGCGGAAGAUGUAACGGGGCUAAACCAUGCACCGAAGCUGCGGCAGCGACACUAUGUGUUGUUGGGUAGGGGAGCGUUCUGUAAGCCUGCGAAGGUGUGCUGUGAGGCAUGCUGGAGGUAUCAGAAGUGCGAAUGCUGACAUAAGUAACGAUAAAGCGGGUGAAAAGCCCGCUCGCCGGAAGACCAAGGGUUCCUGUCCAACGUUAAUCGGGGCAGGGUGAGUCGACCCCUAAGGCGAGGCCGAAAGGCGUAGUCGAUGGGAAACAGGUUAAUAUUCCUGUACUUGGUGUUACUGCGAAGGGGGGACGGAGAAGGCUAUGUUAGCCGGGCGACGGUUGUCCCGGUUUAAGCAUGUAGGCUGGUUAUCCAGGCAAAUCCGGAUAAUCAAGGCUGAGGUGUGAUGACGAGGCACUACGGUGCUGAAGUAACAAAUGCCCUGCUUCCAGGAAAAGCCUCUAAGCAUCAGGUAACAUCAAAUCGUACCCCAAACCGACACAGGUGGUCAGGUAGAGAAUACCAAGGCGCUUGAGAGAACUCGGGUGAAGGAACUAGGCAAAAUGGUGCCGUAACUUCGGGAGAAGGCACGCUGGUGUGUAGGUGAAGUCCCUGCGGAUGGAGCUGAGACCAGUCGAAGAUACCAGCUGGCUGCAACUGUUUAUUAAAAACACAGCACUGUGCAAACACGAAAGUGGACGUAUACGGUGUGACGCCUGCCCGGUGCCGGAAGGUUAAUUGAUGGG